CACGUAGGGCGCAAGCGUUGUCCGGAAUUAUUGGGCGUAAAGAGCUCGUAGGCGGUCUGUUGCGUCUGCUGUGAAAACUCGGGGCUUAACCCCGGGCGUGCAGUGGAUACGGGCAGGCUGGAGGCAGGCAGGGGAGAACGGAAUUCCCGGUGUAGCGGUGAAAUGCGCAGAUAUCGGGAGGAACACCGGUGGCGAAGGCGGUUCUCUGGGCCUGUACUGACGCUGAGGAGCGAAAGCGUGGGGAGCGAACAGG
rnacentral:rRNA from 1 species